rnacentral:rRNA from 1 species
AUUGAACGCUGGUGGCAGGCUUAACACAUGCAAGUCGAACGGUAACAGGGAUUGGCUUGCUUCUUUGCUGACGAGUGUCGCACGCGUGUGUAAUGCUUAGGAAUCUGUCUUAUGUCGGGGGGUAACUACUGGAAACUGUAGCUAAUACCGCGUAAACUCUUCGGGUUAAAGGGCGGGACUUUCGCGCCACCUGCCAUAAGAUGAGCCCAAGUGGGAUUAGGUAGUUGGUUCGGUAAAGGCUGACCAAGCCGACGAUCUCUAGCUGGUCUGAGAGGAUGACCAGCCACACUGGAACUGAGACACGGUCCAGACUCCUACGGGAGGCAGCAGUGGGGAAUAUUGGACAAAGGGGGGAAGCCUGAUGCAGCCAUGCCGCGUGAAUGAAGAAGGCCUUCGGGUUGUAAAGUUCUUUUGGUGAGGAAGAAAGGUGAUAGGUUAAUAGCCUAUUAAAUUGACGGUAACCAAAGAAGAAGCACCGGCUAACUUCGUG